rnacentral:misc_RNA from 1 species
CGUAAGGUGCCGAACGAGUCAUUUAAAAAUUAACUUCGUCCGAUCCCUAGUCGGCAUAGUUUAUGGUUAAGACUACGACGGUAUCUGAUCGUCUUCGAUCCCCUAACUUUCGUUCUUGAUUAAUGAAAACAUCCUUGGCAAAUGCUUUCGCAGUAGUUAGUCUUCAAUAAAUCCAAGAAUUUCACCUCUGACAAUUGAAUACUAAUGCCCCCAACUAUCCCUAUUAAUCAUUACGGUGAUCCUAGAAACCAACAAAAUAGGACCAGCCGUCCUAUAUUGUUAUUCCAUGCUAAUGUAUUCAGACGUUAGCCUGCUUUAAACACUCUAAUUUUUCAAAGUAACAGUCCUGAUUCCUCCCC